rnacentral:lncRNA from 1 species
GUUGGUCCUGAAUAAGAGACUAUAAACUUGAUUCCGGAACUUUACUAGAAUUUCUUGAUUUAUGACAAACCUUUUUUUUUCAAAUGGUAUAGAAAGUAAAAAAAAAAAGCAGAAAGAUAAAUCAGGACCAAAAAAGAAAACAAAAUACAUCAAAGCAACUAACGUAUUUGUAAGCAUGUCCUCCGUAACGACCUGUUGGCAGAAACUCCACCUUUUAAAAGUGUAAUAGUUAUAGCAGAAAAUGGAGUAAGAGAGGCCCCACUGUUGUUGCCACGUCUGUACCAGAAAGGGACUCCUGUGUCUUGGGCUACAAAUAUCUCAGAAAUGAUAUAAUGAUGGAAUGCUCACAUAUGUUCAUCAGUCUGGAGUCUGAAAACGAUUCUACUUUUUUAAAAGGUAAUAAAACCUAAGUACAUGAAUAUAAUAAUAUUAAC